GGUAAGAUCUUUUGUAAAUUUUUUUUUAUAGUGAAGUUUGCAUGCCUUGUGGAGGUGAGCCCUUUUGUGACUGAUCCACGUAUUUUGAUUAUUUUUUAUUUUAUUUCUUCUUUCUUCCUGCUGCAUCGUGUGGUACUGAAAAGGUCCUGAGAGGUGGUGUCCUGAUCAAACAUCCACCCAACAAUUAUAAAGAUAAUUAAAAAUGAUUAU
rnacentral:lncRNA from 1 species